GAAAUGCGAUAAGUAGUGUGAAUUGCAGAAUUCAGUGAAUCAUCGAAUCUUUGAACGCACAUUGCGCCCUUUGGUAUUCCUUAGGGCAUGCCUGUUUGAGCGUCAUCUAAACCUUCAAGCCCUGCUUGGUGUUGGGUGCCUGUCCCGCCUCCGCGCGCGGACUCACCUCAAAUCCAUUGGCGGCCCCCGCGUCGGCCACGAGCGCAGCAGAAACGCGAACUCGUGAGCCCGUCCGGGCGGCUCCCAGAAGCUACACCCACCCAGUUUGACCUCGGAUCAGGUAGGGAUACCCGCUGAACUUAAGC
rnacentral:misc_RNA from 1 species